rnacentral:rRNA from 2 species
CCAGACUCCUACGGGAGGCAGCAGUAGGGAAUCUUCCGCAAUGGACGAAAGUCUGACGGAGCAACGCCGCGUGAGUGACGAAGGCCUUCGGGUCGUAAAGCUCUGUUGUUAGGGAAGAACAAGUACCGUUCGAAUAGGGCGGUACCUUGACGGUACCUAACCAGAAAGCCACGGCUAACUACGUGCCAGCAGCCGCGGUAAUACGUAGGUGGCAAGCGUUGUCCGGAAUUAUUGGGCGUAAAGCGCGCGCAGGCGGUCUUUUAAGUCUGAUGUGAAAGCCCACGGCUCAACCGUGGAGGGUCAUUGGAAACUGGAGGACUUGAGUGCAGAAGAGGAGAGUGGAAUUCCACGUGUAGCGGUGAAAUGCGUAGAUAUGUGGAGGAACACCAGUGGCGAAGGCGGCUCUCUGGUCUGUAACUGACGCUGAGGCGCGAAAGCGUGGGGAGCAAACAGGAUUAGAUACCCUGGUAGUCCACGCCGUAAACGAUGAGUGCUAGGUGUUGGGGGGUUCCACCCUCAGUGC